rnacentral:rRNA from 1 species
UGGGGAAUUUUGGACAAUGGGCGAAAGCCUGAUCCAGCAAUGCCGCGUGUGUGAAGAAGGCCUUCGGGUUGUAAAGCACUUUUGUCCGGAAAGAAAUGGCUCUGGUUAAUACCUGGGGUCGAUGACGGUACCGGAAGAAUAAGGACCGGCUAACUACGUGCCAGCAGCCGCGGUAAUACGUAGGGUCCAAGCGUUAAUCGGAAUUACUGGGCGUAAAGCGUGCGCAGGCGGUUGUGCAAGACCGAUGUGAAAUCCCCGAGCUUAACUUGGGAAUUGCAUUGGUGACUGCACGGCUAGAGUGUGUCAGAGGGGGGUAGAAUUCCACGUGUAGCAGUGAAAUGCGUGGAGAUGUGGAGGAAUACCGAUGGCGAAGGCAGCCCCCUGGGAUAACACUGACGCUCAUGCACGAAAGCGUGGGGAGCAAACAGG